CCAGGCGUCCUCGUGUGAGGACACCAUCUUUAAACCCUGCAUGGCAAUCCCUGACACACUGCCGUGAUGCCCGGGGAAGACAGGGCGACCUGGAAGUCCAACUGCUUCCUUAAGAUCAUCCAACUUCUGGAUCAUUAUCCAAAAUGCUUCAUUGUGGGAGCAGACAACAUGGGCUCCAAGCAGAGGCAGCAGAUCCCUAUGUCCCUCUGCGGGAAGGCUGUGGUGCUGAUGGGCAAGAACACGAUGAUGUGCAAGGCCAUCAAGGGCAUCUGGAAAACAACCCAGCAUUGGAGAAACUGUUGCCUCACAUCCAGGGGAAUGUGGGCUUUGUGUUCACCAAGGAGGACCUCCCUGAGAUCAGGGACAUGCUGCUGGCCAGCAAGGUGCCAGCUGUCGCCCGUGCUGGUGCCAAAGCGGCGUGUGAAGUCACUGUGCCAGCCCAGAACACUGGUCUGGGGCUUGACUAGACCUCCUUCUUCCAGGCUUUAGGCAUCACCACUAAGAUCUCCAGGGGCACCAUUGAAAUCCUGAGCGAUGUGCAGCUAAUUAAGACCGGAGACAAGGUGGGCUCCAGCGAAACCAUGCUGCUGAACAUGCUGAAUAUCUCCCCCUUCUCCUUCGGGCUGGUCAUCCAGCAGGUGUUUGACAAUGGGAGCAUCUACAACCCUGUAGUGCUUGACAUCACAGAGGAAACUGCAUUCCCGCUUCCUGGAGGGUGUCCGCAAUGUUCCCAGCGUAUGCCUGCAGAUUGGUUACCUGACUGUUGCCAUCUGUACCCCAUUUUAUCAUCAAUGGGUACAAGUGGGUCCUGGCUUUGUCUGUGGAGACUGAUUACACCUUCCCACUUGCUGAAAAGGUCAAGGCCUUCUUGGCUGAUCUAUUUGCAUUUGUGACUGCGGCCACCACCGCAGCCCCGCACCAGGCAAGGUUGAAACAAAGGAAGAGUCGGAGGAGUCGGAGGAGGAUAUGGGAUUCAGUCUCUUUGACUAA